rnacentral:lncRNA from 1 species
AUAAUGGCUUUCUCAAGCUUUCCCAUGUUCCCACUUCUCGGCAGCUGGUUGACCUAUUGACAAAGGCCUUAUCUAGGACUGCUCUUUCUCCUCUUUUGUCCAAGUUGAUGGUGGUUUCCCCCGUUCAACUUGAGGGGGGGUAUUGAGAUAUAUGUAGGCGAUGAUGAUAAACCCCAACUUAGACCAUUAAGGGUCAAUAACGGAGUCAUAUCUGAGUCUAAUAGGCUACUUAGGCUACUUGUGUAAUUAAGCUAUCUUUGUAAUUAGUAUAUUUCUGUAAUUAGGUUAUUUGUGUAAUUAUGCUGUUUCUGUAAUAACUAGGCUAUAUUUGUAAAAGGGUUAUUUUGAUAUAAGGGGUCAGGGG